rnacentral:rRNA from 1 species
UUAACUUCGGGGUGNCAGGCGAUACGGGCAUAACUAGAGUGCUGUAGGGGAGACUGGAAUUCCUGGUGUAGCGGUGGAAUGCGCAGAUAUCAGGAGGAACACCGAUGGCGAAGGCAGGUCUCUGGNCAGUAACUGACGCUGAGGAGCGAAAGCAUGGGGAGCGAACAGGAUUAGAUACCCUGGUAGUCCAUGCUGUAAACGGUGGGCGUUAGGUGUGGGGACCGGUUUGGUUUCUGUGCCGUAGCUAACGCAUUAAGCGCCCCGCCUGGGGAGUACGGCCGCAAGGCUAAAACUCAAAGGAAUUGACGGGGGCCCGCACAAGCGGCGGAGCAUGUGGAUUAAUUCGAUGCAACGCGAAGAACCUUACCUGGGUUUGACAUGCACCAGACGGUUGUAGAGAUACGUACCUCCCUUUGUGGUUGGUGUGCAGGUGGUGCAUGGUUGUCGUCAGCUCGUGUCGUGAGAUGUUGGGUUAAGUCCCGCAACGAGCGCAACCCUUGUCUUAUGUUGCCAGCACUUUGGGUGGGGACUCAUGAGAGACUGCCGGGGUUAACUCGGAGGAAGGUGGGGAUGACGUCAAAUCAUCAUGCCCUUUAUGCCCAGGGCUUCACACAUGCUACAAUGGUUAGUACAACGCGCGGCAAACCUGUGAGGGUGAGCGAAUCGCUGAAAGCUAAUCUCAGUUCGGAUUGGGGUCUGCAACUCGACCCCAUGAAGUCGGAGUCGCUAGUAAUCGCAGAUCAGCAAUGCUGCGGUGAAUACGUUCCCGGGCCUUGUACACACCGCCCGUCACGUCAUGAAAGUUGGUAACACCCGAAGCCCAUGGCCUAACCACCAUU